rnacentral:rRNA from 1 species
GAACGCGAAGAACCUUACCUGGUCUUGACAUGUACGGAACCCUCCAGAGACGGAGGGGUGCCUUCGGGAGCCGUAACACAGGUGCUGCAUGGCUGUCGUCAGCUCGUGUCGUGAGAUGUUGGGUUAAGUCCCGCAACGAGCGCAACCCUUGUCAUUAGUUGCCAUCAUUAAGUUGGGCACUCUAAUGAGACUGCCGGUGACAAGCCGGAGGAAGGUGGGGAUGACGUCAAGUCCUCAUGGCCCUUAUGACCAGGGCUUCACACGUCAUACAAUGGUCGGUACAGAGGGUAGCCAAGCCGCGAGGCGGAGCCAAUCUCACAAAACCGAUCGUAGUCCGGAUUGCACUCUGCAACUCGAGUGCAUGAAGUCGGAAUCGCUAGUAAUCGCAGGUCAGCAUACUGCGGUGAAUACGUUCCCGGGUCUUGUACACACC